ensembl:snoRNA small nucleolar RNA, C/D box 1B
CUGAGCUGGUGAUGAUAAGUUAUCCCUGUCUGAAAAAAAAAUGUGGAGGAAACUUCCUGAAGCUUGG